CAGAGAGGACACCGGUCACCCAGGCCCUCUUUGCUGUGAGAUGAUUCCCCAAGAGCAGCAACACUCACAAGAUGCCUGGGACAGAUGAUUGUGAAGGAUCUCCAGCCUCUGUCCAUAGUGGAAGACCAAGGUUUCCAAGCAUUUGUGAGAGCUCUUGACCCUAAAUAUAAUCUCCCAGGAAGAAAAAAACUGACAGAGACUCAUCUUCUUAAUAUGUUCGAUGAAUGCAAAGGCAAAGUAAGGGCGUCUUUGCAAAAUGCUUCUAGUGUUGUAAUAACCACUGAUAUGUGGACUUCAGUUUCCACAGAGGCAUAUUUAACUGUAACAUGUCAUCUAAUUGAAAACUGGCAAAUGAGGGAAUUUGUUUUGGAAACCCACACUUUCCAAGGGCAGCAUACAGCAGAUAAUAUCUGUUUAACACUUAAACGAAUCACAGAUGAAUGGGGCAUAACUGACAAGGUUGUUGCAGUUGUGACAGACAAUGGUGCAAAUAUGGUAGCUGCAGUGCACAAGGCUGGAUGGAGGCAUCAUCCAUGUUUUGCACAUACACUAAAUUUAGUUGUAAAGGACAGUAUAAAAACUGUCCCAGAAGUGGUGAAAGUGCUGGAGAAAUGCAGUGCAAUCGUGUCCUUUUUUCACCACAGCACACAGGCCACACAAAAGCUCAGGGGUAUUCAACAACAGUUGAAAGUGGCAGAGCACAAGCUAAUCCAGUCAGUAGAUACCCGCUGGGUUUUUUACAUGCUGGAGAGGAUAUGUGAACAAAAUGAAGCUGUGACCACUGCCCUCUGCCUUUUAGGGAGGAAUGCACUGUGCUUAAAUCAGGGAGAACUAUCCCUCAUCAAGCAAACAGUUGAUGCAUUAAGACCAUUUGAGGAAGUGACACGGGAAGUUUCGGCUGAUAAGUAUAUUUAAGUCUCCAAAGUUAUUCCACUUGUAUCACUCAUUCACAGGGCUGUAGCAGCCUGUGAGUGUCAAGGUAGCUCACUUGCUGCACAACUGGCACAGCAAUGUCAGCGCAGAUUCAGGGGUAUUGAGAGCAUUUACUGUCUAGCUGCCAGUACAUUUCUGGAUGUUAGAUUUAAACAUCUUGGAUUUCGAGACAAGGACAAUGUGGAAGUCAUGAAAAAACGUCUCCUCUCAGCAAUGCAGGAAGUGUAUCAGACAAGACAGGCAGCUCUCACUCUAGCCCCAAGCUCAACAGCUACUGUUAGCUCUUCCCCAUAUACUUCCACUUCAGGGCCUUCUACUUCAGAGCCAAACCAGAGUCCUGCCCCCUCAGGUUCAGCUGUAUCAAAAGGAGGCAUAUGGACUGAUUUUGACAUGCAGGUUUUGUCAGGACAACAUCACAGGUCAGCUGCCAGUGAUGUACUCAUUGAAAUACGUUGGUACUCAGAAGAGAAAGUGAUUCCCCGAAAUAGUGAUGCACUGGUUUGGUGGAAAGAACAUGAACCAACCUUCCCAGCCUUGAGCAAACUAGCAGUGAGAUACAUGGGAAUUACUGCCACUUCUGUCCCAGCAGAGAGAGUCUUUUCAAAGGCAGGAGAGGUUCUGAG